rnacentral:rRNA from 1 species
ACUCCUACGGGAGGCAGCAGUGGGGAAUAUUGCACAAUGGGCGCAAGCCUGAUGCAGCCAUGCCGCGUGUGUGAAGAAGGCCUUGGGUUGUAAAGCACUUUCAGUCGUGAGGAAGGUAGUGUAGUUAAUAGCUGCAUUAUUUGUACGUUAGCGACAGAAGAAGCACCGGCUAACUCCGUGCCAGCAGCCGCGGUAAUACGGAGGGUGCGAGCGUUAAUCGGAAUUACUGGGCGUAAAGCGCAUGCAGGUGGUUGUUAAGUCAGAUGUGAAAGCCCGGGGCUCAACCUCGGAAUAGCAUUUGAAACUGGCAGACUAGAGUACUGUAGAGGGGGUAGGAAUUUCAGGUGUAGCGGUGAAAUGCGUAGAGAUCUGAAGGAAUACCGGUGGCGAAGGCGGCCCCUGGACAGAUACUGACACUCAGAUGCGAAA